rnacentral:rRNA from 1 species
AGUGAACGCUGGCGGUAGGCCUAACACAUGCAAGUCGAACGGCAGCACAGUAAGAGCUUGCUCUUACGGGUGGCGAGUGGCGGACGGGUGAGGAAUACAUCGGAAUCUUCUUUUUCGUGGGGGAUAACGUAGGGAAACUUACGCUAAUACCGCAUACGACCUACGGGUGAAAGCAGGGGAUCUUCGGACCUUGCGCGAUUGAAUGAGCCGAUGUCGGAUUAGCUAGUUGGCGGGGUAAAGGCCCACCAAGGCGACGAUCCGUAGCUGGUCUGAGAGGAUGAUCAGCCACACUGGAACUGAGACACGGUCCAGACUCCUACGGGAGGCAGCAGUGGGGAAUAUUGGACAAUGGGCGCAAGCCUGAUCCAGCCAUACCGCGUGGGUGAAGAAGGCCUUCGGGUUGUAAAGCCCUUUUGUUGGGAAAGAAAAGCAGCAGGUUAAUACCCCGCUGUUCUGACGGUACCCAAAGAAUAAGCACCGGCUAACUUCGU